rnacentral:rRNA from 1 species
GGGGUGCAGCAGGCGCGAAAACUUUACAAUGCAGGCAACUGCGAUAAGGGAACAUCGAGUGGCACGCAUAAUGUGUGUCUGUCCAGCUGUCUAAAAAACAGCUGUUAGCAAGGGCCGGGCAAGACCGGUGCCAGCCACCGCGGUAAUACCGGCGGCUCGAGUGGUGGCCGAUAUUAUUGAGUCUAAAGGGUCCGUAGCCGGCUUUGCAAGUCCUGUGGGAAAUCCAGCGGCUUAACCGUUGGGCGUCCGCGGGAUACUACAUUGCUUGGGACUGGGAGAGGUAAGAGGUACUCAGGGGGUAGGAGUGAAAUCCUGUAAUCCUUUGGGGACCACCGGUGGCGAAGGCGUCUUACCAGAACAGGUCCGACGGUGAGGGACGAAAGCUAGGGGCACGAACCGGAUUAGAUACCCGGGUAGUCCUAGCCGUAAACGAUGCUCGCUAGGUGUCACAGCAGUCGUGAAUUGCUGUGGUGCCGUAGGGAAGCCGUGAAGCGAGCCACUUGGGAAGUACGACCGCAAGGUUGAAACUUAAAGGAAUUGGCGGGGGAGCAC